rnacentral:misc_RNA from 1 species
AAGUCGUAACAAGGUUUCCGUAGGUGAACCUGCGGAAGGAUCAUUAUCGAGAGCGGGGCUUCGCGCUCCCGGGGGCCUCGGCCCCCAACUCUUCACCCUUUGUCUACCUACCAUUGUUGCUUUGGCGGGCCCCGGGGGUCUCUCCUCCGCGCUGGCUUUCGGGUCGGUGAGCGUCCGCCAGAGGCCCAUUAUACUCUAUUUUUCCAGUGUCGUCAGAGCACACAAAGAAUUAAAUAAAACUUUCAACAACGGAUCUCUUGGUUCCA